rnacentral:rRNA from 1 species
UACGUAGGGGGCUAGCGUUGUCCGGAUUUAUUGGGCGUAAAGAGCGUGUAGGCGGCCAGAUAGGUCUGCUGUGAAAACUCGAGGCUCAACCUCGAGAUGUCGGCGGAAACCAUUUGGCUAGAGUCCGGAAGAGGAAAGUGGAUUCCUGGUGUAGCGGUGAAAUGCGCAGAUAUCAGGAAGAACACCCGUGGCGAAGGCGGUUCUUGG